rnacentral:rRNA from 1 species
UACGUAGGACCCAAGCGUUAUCCGGAUUUACUGGGCGUAAAGAGUUGCGUAGGUGGCAGAGUAAGUAGGUAGUGAAAGCGUGUGGCUCAACCAUACAUGACAUCAUCUAAACUGCUCAGCUAGAGUAUGGGAGAGGUAGAUGGAAUUUCUAGUGUAGGAGUGAAAUCCGUAGAUAUUAGAAGGAACACCGAUGGCGUAGGCAGUCUACUGGCCCAUUACUGACACUAAGGCACGAAAGCGUGGGGAGCGAACGGG